rnacentral:rRNA from 1 species
GAAUGACUCUCGACAACGGAUAUCUCGGCUCUUGCAUCGAUGAAGAACGUAGCGAAAUGCGAUACUUGGUCUGAAUUGCAGAAUCUCGUGAACCAUCGAGUCUUUGAACGUAAGUUGCGCUCGAAGCCAUUAAGCCGAGGGCACGCCUGCCUGGGUGUCACAU